GUGCCGGGACGACCCGGCAGCCUUCAUCCUGAUCGAAGGGGACGACCCCU
rnacentral:ncRNA from 1 species